GUCUGUGGUCAUACCACCCCGAAUGCACCCAGUCUCAUCUGAUCUCAGAAGCUAAGCAGGUCAGGCUUCGUCAGCCCUUGGACGGGAAGAGAAUAACUUGCCCAGGGU
rnacentral:rRNA from 1 species